CAAUAGCGUAUAUUAAAGUUGUUGCAGUUAGAACGCUCGUAGUCGGAUUCCGGGGCGGGCCGACCGGUCUGCCGAUGGGUACGCACUGGUCGGCGCGUCCUUCCUUCCGGAGACCGUGCCUACUCUUAACUGAGCGGGGGCGGGAGACGGAUCGUUUACUUUGAAAAAAUCAGAGUGUUUCAAGCAGGCAGCUCGCUCUUGCAUGGAUUAGCAUGGGAUAAUGAAAUAGGACUUUGGUGCUAUUUUGUUGGUUUCGAACACCGAAGUAAUGAUUAACAGGGACAGUCAGGGGCACUCGUAUUCCGCCGAGAGAGGUGAAAUUCUCAGACCAGCGGAAGACGAACUACUGCGAAAGCAUUUGCCAGGGAUGUUUUCACUGA
rnacentral:rRNA from 1 species